AGUGAACGCUGGCGGUAGGCCUAACACAUGCAAGUCGAACGGCAGCACAGUAAGAGCUUGCUCUUACGGGUGGCGAGUGGCGGACGGGUGAGGAAUACAUCGGAAUCUACUUUUUCGUGGGGGAUAGCGUAGGGAAACUUACGCUAAUACCGCAUACGCCCUACGGGUGAAAGCAGGGGAUCUUCGGACCUUGCGCGAUUGAAUGAGCCGAUGUCGGAUUAGCUAGUUGGCGGGGUAAAGGCCCACCAAGGCGACGAUCCGUAGCUGGUCUGAGAGGAUGGUCAGCCACACUGGAACUGAGACACGGUCCAGACUCCUGCGGGAGGCAGCAAUGGGGAAUAUUGGACAAUGGGCGCAAGCCUGAUCCAGCCAUACCGCGUGGGUGAAGAAGGCCUUCGGGUUGUAAAGACCUUUUGUUGGGAAAGAAAAGCAGCAGGUUAAUACCCCGCUGUUCUGACGGUACCCAAAGAAUAAGCACCGGCUAACUUCGUG
rnacentral:rRNA from 1 species